GAGUGGCGGACGGGUGAGUAAUGUCUGGGAAACUGCCUGAUGGAGGGGGAUAACUACUGGAAACGGUAGCUAAUACCGCAUAACGUCGCAAGACCAAAGAGGGGGACCUUCGGGCCUCUUGCCAUCAGAUGUGCCCAGAUGGGAUUAGCUAGUAGGUGGGGUAACGGCUCACCUAGGCGACGAUCCCUAGCUGGUCUGAGAGGAUGACCAGCCACACUGGAACUGAGACACGGUCCAGACUCCUACGGGAGGCAGCAGUGGGGAAUAUUGCACAAUGGGCGCAAGCCUGAUGCAGCCAUGCCGCGUGUAUGAAGAAGGCCUUCGGGUUGUAAAGUACUUUCAGCGGGGAGGAAGGCGUUGUGGUUAAUAACCACAGCGAUUGACGUUACCCGCAGAAGAAGCACCGGCUAACUCCGUGCCAGCAGCCGCGGUAAUACGGAGGGUGCAAGCGUUAAUCGGAAUUACUGGGCGUAAAGCGCACGCAGGCGGUCUGUCAAGUCGGAUGUGAAAUCCCCGGGCUCAACCUGGGAACUGCAUUCGAAACUGGCAGGCUAGAGUCUUGUAGAGGGGGGUAGAAUUCCAGGUGUAGCGGUGAAAUGCGUAGAGAUCUGGAGGAAUACCGGUGGCGAAGGCGG
rnacentral:rRNA from 1 species